AGCAUGUGGUUUAAUUCGACGCAACGCGAAGAACCUUACCUGGGCUCGAACGGUUGACGACGCCCGCUAGAAAUAGUGGGGUUUCCUUCGGGAACGGCAAUCGAGGUGCUGCAUGGCUGUCGUCAGCUCGUGUCGUGAGAUGUUGGGUUAAGUCCCGCAACGAGCGCAACCCUUGUCCUGUGUUGCUAAUCUUUCGGAUGCACUCUCAGGAGACCGCCAGCGACAAGCUGGAGGAAGGUGGGGAUGACGUCAAGUCAGCAUGGCCUUUAUGUCCAGGGCUACACACGUGCUACAAUGGGCAGGACAACGCGUCGCGAACCCGCGAGGGGGAGCUAAUCGUAUAAACCUGUUCUCAGUUCGGAUUGCAGGCUGCAACUCGCCUGCAUGAAGCUGGAAUCGCUAGUAAUGGCAGAUCAGCAUGCUGCCGUGAAUACGUUCCCGGGCCUU
rnacentral:rRNA from 1 species